CUUAAGACUGAAAAUCCAUGAACAUCUUUGCAUUUGGAUAAAAACUUUACUAUAAAGAGAGAAAUUAUACAGCUUUUUUACACUGUGGUAUGUACAUGGUUUUUCACUAUAAAGAAGUCCUUGUCUACUUAUGACUGUAUUUUUUACAUGAAAUAUGUAACCUAGCACCUUGCAGGUUACAUAUUUCAUGUAAUUAAAAUAUUUGAGGAUGCAUGUUGAUCUCAGUUAUUUUUAAUGGAUCUUAAAUAGGGUUGUAUUUGUACCUUCAACUAUUUUAUUAAUUGUCACAUUUUUCUUCUAGUGGAUCUUUUUCUAAUCUUUGAUGUUUUAUUGUUUGUUUGCUCAUUUAUUCCAUAAAUUUAUUCAAUGCAUCUAUUUCAUGCAAGAGUGUGUUCAGUUCCUUCCUUCUCUUUCUUUAGGAAUUCCUCUCUCUCCCAGAGCACUUCUUUCUCCAAAUCUUCUUUUGCAGAUUUCAUAUCUUUUUUCAUGCUUUGCAGAUUUUUUUUAGUUCAUUUUCUCUUUCUCUGUUAAUUACCUGUAGCAUUCAGUUCGACAUUUUACCUGUACUCCCAUUGUUUACUCCUUCCCUGUCCCUUCCUGCUGUAAUGAGCUCUUCUGAAAUAGAUACAGUGUCUUUCUUUCACAUUUAAGAAAUAGAUUACAAAUGCUUUCUAAAUCCUGUUUUGAUUCUUGUUUCAUUUCAUGGUUUACUGAUUCCAUGCUUCCCAUCCCCACCUGACUCUGCACCCAGGUUCUUAAUGCAUCUUUCUUCUGUCAUACUGACAAACAUUUUCAAUGGUUCAAGUCAUUUAUUCCCCUUUACUUAUUCUUCCUUGAGUUUUUCAUGAUAAUAUGGCUGUUAGCUCUGAAACCUUUGCUUCAGACUGUUUUACUGGCAUUUAAAUAGGCCUUGAAAUUGGAAGGUUCACAGGCGCUCACUCUGACUUCCUUCUGGAGAUCCAAAAACUAUUUCUUGAGCAUAUCAUGUCCUAAAUAAGACACACCUGUAGUGGAUUAACCAUUCAGAAUUAUAUAUGACAUCAGAUAUUACUUUCCUUAUAUCUAUCAAGGUAAAGCCCCAUUACCACUGAGAGUAGUAAGUUAAUUUAUUGAUGAAUUUUCUUGUCAUUUACACCCGCUGGUUGGCAGUUUAAAGAGCACAUGCUUUCAGCAUCUCAUUUAUGUAGCUUAAAUAGUCACCUGUUUUGAAUUGAUUUGAGAGGAAGGAAAGACUGGAUUCAUCGGCAAGUCAUGGAUCAAUUAUUAUAUAAGUUCUAAUGCUACCACUCUCCUAGCAAAAUGGAUGUGAUUAACAUUUAAGCAUGAUGCCUACCCAUGCAUUUUUCGUUUACUGUUUCCUUCAAACCUAUUUGCCAGUUCUUGUGUUGUGAUUCCAAGAAAUGCAUACUUUAAUAAUAAAGACUUAAUUUUCCCUUUGCAUGAAAACAUUCUAAACACCAAGAAGCCUUAUGAAAUUGAAGGCAAGGGAAUAUGAAAGUCCAUUAAACAACAGCAUUAUGUAUGGUCACCCAGGAAUUUGCACACAAAAUUCUGCUAAAGCUAAUGGCAUUUAUGUUCUUCAAGUUUUCCAAACAACGAGUUGAAAAAUAUACCCUCAAGAAUUGUUUAUACCAAGAAGGGCCAACUAUUUAUAAUCACAAGUGGAGUUUCUGCAAAGGUCUCUGCCAGACACUACAGUUGUGGCAUACAUCCCUCCCAGUUUGCAGAAACUCUACUGUUUGAGGUUGAAAGUGAAACAUGAGUCCAAAGAAAUGCGUGCAGCUUUUUCCUAGAAUAAGUUAAAUUCAGAGUGAAAGAACACAGAAGAGGACAAAGGGUAUAGGAAAUCACAGCAUAGGCAGCCCUGCCUUAUUUUUAGUGAAAAGGAUUAGUACUGGUAACCCUGCAGUAAAGCUGAUCGCCUGUGAUCAGAGAGUAGUAUAGUUGUAAUCCCUUUACUAUACCACUAAGUUGAUUGAUUAAAUUAAAAGUUAUGAGUCAAAUACCCUCAGGGCAUCUUGGAAACUUCUUUACUCUCUGCAUAUUCAUAUGGUCCUAAUGACCUUCCACUGGAAGGAAAAAGUGUGUGCUACCUGCAGGGGAUACAUGAAGAAAGGCUUAGGAGGAGGCGAAACUUUUUCACAACCACCAGCAAGAGUUUAAUUAAACUCUAACAUUAUAAGCUUGCCUCAAUUUAAGAGUGAAAUGUACCAGGUUUUUCCUGCACAUGGAGCCUCACAGGGUCUUGCAGCUCAAGUAGAAAGAACAAUGAAAAGCAGAAGGCUUUCUUUUUACAUCUGGCUCCUUGAAAUGGGGCUAAGAGGCUUUCUGGAGGGUUUUGCUGGCUGGGACAGUUAGUGUUUACAGAUGUGAGUGGCUUUCAGUCAUUGCAUGUAAAUUACAUUUGCUUUGUUGCACACACCCUGGGAAAACCAAGAGGAAGAAGAGAAAUAAUGUUCCUUUAUCCGCCCACACACAUUGACAUUCAAGGCACAGUCUUUUCAGGUUUAUUGGGUCCCUAAGCAACCUUUGAAGAGAUCUGUACAUCUGUCCGGCUGUCCCUACUCCAGCAGACAUGGAUUCCUUUGCUUUGCUUUUCAAGUCUCUGGUUCCAUCUUUGGUCCAUUGACUGAAUUUUUUGGUAAACAUUUCUUGCAUUCAGACCUGAGUGGCCACCCAGCUCCUGGGCUAAUUCUGCUUCUCUCUUAAAAUUUGAUCUGUAUUCUGAAGGCGAGUUCAUCAGAAAAAAUAAAUGUGGAAGCUAAAAUCCUAAGAAGUAAACUAAAAUAGGAAGGUGAGAGAGAGAAAAUUCUUGCUGAAAUACUGAAUCCCAAAACCAGAUCAGAACAAUGUGAGAGUUGAAAGGGAGCCUUUCUAAAGUGAGAGAAACUGUCAUCUAGGUUUCUUUUGCAUCCUGCCCCUCCCCAGGAGAGAGUAGUCAAUGGUCAGCAUUCCUCUGAGAGACAAUACAUAUUGUACAUAGUCUGAACAAUAAUGGACGAUCAUGAGAAUCAGAUCAUCUAGGAGUGUUGAAUCUGAUACUUACUAGAGGGCCUUAUAGAAGUUACUUAACCUCUGUGUGCCUCAGUUUUCUCAUCUGUGAAGCAGAGAUAAUCAAAGCACCUAUCUCUUGAAGCAGUUUUAAAGAUGACCUACGUUCAAAGCUAAUCUCCACCAUUUACUACUAGCUGUAGCACCUUGCAAAAGACACUGACUAACUUCUCUGACCUCCAGUCUCCUCUCAGUAAAAUCAGAGUCUACAUCAUUGUAUUGUUAGAAUUGUAUUCUUAGAAUAGGCUUGGAAUAUGAUGAAAGCUCACACAGUGUUAGUCAUUAUUAUUUUAAAAUGAGGCAAUGUAUAAAUGGUUCUUAGUUCAGAACAAGUCCAACAGCAAGAAUUGUGUUAGCUAUGAGUGUAAUGUGCUUAUUUCUAGUUUUGUCCUGCUAUCCACCCAAAUUCUCAACCUUUAGAUAAUGAUUUAGCUCUGAUCUUAUGCUGAUAUCUUGGAUAAGUCUUCUCAUCUGAUUGAUUUCCAUCACCUGGUGAGAAUUUGCUGAGAUUCCAACCUGACUACUGAAUUUCUUCCCAUCCAAGUGGACAGAGGGCCAAGUUCCAGGUAUAUUUUAUCAUCCCUGACUUCACAAAUAUCACUGAAAGUAAAGGGCCCCAAGUUUACAAUUGACAGACACUUUAUAAAAGAUCUUAUACUAUAAGGCCUAACCAGCAAUGAGGAAAUCGAGUUUUCAUUUGUGAUUUUUCCCCCAUCAAAAAUGAAUUUAAUAACAAAUAAAAUAUCCAUUUUAGCAGUCGACCAGACAAACACAUGAAACUAGUCAGCUAAUUUUAAGUUAGUAUUUGAUGGCCUUUUAUUUUGUAAAUAAGAAGACAGAAGUCAGUGGAGUUUGGAAUUUAUGUGUUCUGUGAUUUCUGUUGGCCAAGGUCAGUUUCACUUGACUUCUCUUCCCCUCUUUCCCCACCCAACCCCCAGAAGCACAUAAGCAGUUAUUAGUUGGGAUCUGCCUCUAAGUAUCCUAGAGGCUAAGCAACAAGCAAUUAGAGAAAAAGCAAAGCUGAAAGAAGGUAAGGAAACAACCUAAUUGUUGAGCUGAGCCCUGGGCAGCUCCUGCUCUCUCUGCCUAACCUGGUCUUAGUUGGUCUUCUUAUUUCAGCCUAAAUUAUCACUUCUUCAAGGAAGCUCCUUCUGAUUCACCACAUUGGGCUGGUUCUAGUUCUUAAAGACUCUUUUCAAUUCUUUUUACUCUUCUUACUAUUUAUUGUUCUGUUUAUUAUUCUGCACUUGAACUCCUGGGCUCAAGAAAUCCUCCCGCCUCAGCCUCCUGAGUGGCUGGGACUACAGGUGCAUACCACGAUAAAUAGAGCAUCAAGCUCUAUUUAUUGUUUAGUACAGCUGCUUCAGGUUUCCCUAGGGUUAUGUUCCUCAGGAUAUUCCAUAUAAUUUAAAGCUUACAGAAUUCAAGAUUAAUCCUGAAAAAGGAUUAAGACUGCAUUUUUAAGCCAGCUAUAAAGUGGUACAGCUGUGCACCAAUAACAUAAGCACAGCUUAAAAUUCAUUCAGUCACCAGCUUUGAAAUUAUGAUUAUUGCAAUUUUUAAUUUGGGGAAAGAGAAUUUGCAUUGCUUUACACAUUUUGUGCAUAGAGUGGCUUUACUAAUAUUUUUAAAUCUUUUUAUGUCUUUAUUAAUAUUUUUAUGUUUCUAUGCCUUAUGACAUGUCCAUAUAGGUCCAAGUCAGACUGCUCUAUAAUUAUUUGUUUGAUUGAAUUAACUGGCUCUCCCCAGUAAAGGAUAACUUCCAGGAACUGUAACUAUCCUUUGUUCAUUUCAGUCCACCGAGUGCCUAGCAAAAUGGUAUGUGGUAGACACUCAAGAAACCUGGAAGAAAUUUAAAAGGUUAGGAACUGACACUUUCUGAGAAUAAAGAAGGGAGAUUUUUUUCUUCUCUGUGGGCAGGGAGCACAGCAUCUUUUCCAUCUUGAAGGCAGGAAAGAGUUACCUCUUCCUCUGGGCUCCAUCAGCAUCCUGCCUACUCCUACAUCACAGCACAGAUCCUAAUUGGCAAAAUUAUUAAUCAGUCUCUCUCCCACUGAAAUAGUCACGUCAGACAGAUUCCUUUCUGACUGAAACUGUUCUGCUGUGAAAGACUAACAACAAAGCAGAUGCUCCUUCAUGCCAGGCCAGUUCGAUCUGUUAUCCUACUGGCCAUCUAGAGUAGAAGGAAAACUAGAGCCUUCUAACACCUGACAUCUCCCAAUCCAGGAGAGAAGAAGAGAAAAUUCCCAGUUACCAAGAAGUGAAUUGUAGCUCCCCUUUUUGAGGCUGUAAUGCAAUAGCCAUCCCAUCGCACCAUGGGCCCAGAAACCUAUAAUCUCUUCUUUUAUCUCUUCCUUUGUAAGAAUUAUUGAUUAAUUGCUGUGCUCCCUGUACUGUGUCAAUUGCACAUCUUUUAAACAAUUGCCUGUUGGACUAUACAUUCUCUACCCCACUCUUGGUAUCAAAAUCUGUGUCAGUUAGAGUUCUCCAGAGGGACAAAACCAGUAUGAUAUAUGUGUAUAAAAGGGAGUUUAUUGGGGAGAAUUGUCUCACACAGUUACAGGAUAAAGUCCUGUGAUAGGCUGCCUACAAGCUGGGAAAAGAGAGAAACUGGUAGCCUGGCUCAGUUUAAGUCUAAAAUGCCUCAAAACCAGGGAAUCUGACAGUGCAGCUCUCAGUCUGAGGUCAAAGGCCCAAGAGUCCCUGGAAGGCCACUGGUGCAAGUUGAAGAACCUGAGGUCUGAUGUCCAAGAGCAGGAGGAGUGGAUGGAUCUUCCUCUCCUAGUCCACUGACUCAAAUGUCAGUUUACUCUGGCAACACUCUCACAGAUAUACCCAGACACACAUUUUAUCAGCCAUCUAGGCAUUCUUCAAUCCAAUCAACUUGACAUCUAAUAUUCACUAUCACACCUGCCCUAGGCUAUUGUUUCCCUGAGGACAGAGACUGUGUUUUGUUUGUGACUGUGUCACUAGUUCUUAGCCUAUGUAAAACAAAAUAGACAGCUAGAAGUAUCAAAUGAAUGAGUGAUAAAAGAAUGGAUAGAUGAACUGGGCUUCUGGGGUUCACUCCAUCCCUUGUAAUGAUAUCAAGGAAAUGUCACAAAAGACAAAAUCUAAACCCUCUUUAAAAUCUAUAUUAGUUAAAUUCAUCAUGCUUUCUUUAAUCUGUAAGAGCUGGAAAAAAUCUCUCAUAUUACCCUCAACCCUGGAGCAGCAUUUAUAAUUAGUAUCUUCAAGAUACUACAUAUAUUAGAAACAACAUUGGACAAACUCUCUAUAUGAUGAACACAUCCUUUGCCUUACCUUUCAUUUCCUGUGUCUUCUCUGCUUUUUCCCUGCAUUCUGUGAUUUUAUGGCAGACUCUCAAGAAAGGCAUUAGAGUUGGUUGGGACCAUUACGAUAUCCCCAGCUCCAGCACCAUAUCUGAUAUAGAUUUAGUGCUGAAUACAUGUUACUCAAUGAACUUGCUGCAAGAAGUCUUCACUUUUAAGAGAAUAUUUCAAUUACUUAAAACAAUCAUAGACAGGAGGAACAUGUAUGUACCAACAAUCUUAAUAAGGUUAUUCAGAAUUGUACACACAAAACUCUGCUGAAGCUAACAGCAUUUAUAUGCUUAAGUUUUCCAAACAAUGUGUUGAAAAUAUACCCUGAAGAAUUGUUUAUGCCAAAUAAGGCUGACUAUUCAUGAUCAUGACUGGAAUUGCUGCAUGUUUUGUGCCAGCCACAUCAUUCCUGCCAAACAUCCUCCCAAUUUGCAAGGAUUCUCGGGUUUCAUUUUGAAAAUAAAGCAGUAAAAUGCUUCUUAAGUCCAACUUACGUGGGUCUUAAUUUUCAUUAGCACUUACUUAGGCUCUACUGAUUAGAGUAACAUCUUAACUCUUUUUUGAAAUUCUUGUUUUGAUUGACAAAGUGACAUGGAAUUUUUAAAGUGACAGAUUGACAAAGGAGCACAGAAACAAGUCAAUAGAAUUAUGAUGCUAGCUUGAGUUCUGAAUGCUCAACACUUAAAAAGUGACUCAUACCACCUUUUGUGCCAGAGACACCAACAACCUGAAAGGCUGUCCAUCAGAUAUUUCUAUUUCCGAAACAGGAAAACAGUUCCUUAUUCCAGUGUCUCCGAGCCAAAACUUGUAG